AUGGCUUCUUGGCCUUUAGGCUAAGAUCAAGUGUAUUAUCUGUUCUUAUCAGUUUAAAAUGACUGCCAAAUUUUUGUCUGUUCCAUGCUUUUUUAAGCAUGGAACACAACAUUUUUAAGUUUUUUGUUUUUAAGGCAAAAACAUCA
ensembl:snRNA U2 U2 spliceosomal RNA